UACAGAGGGUGCAAGCGUUGUUCGGAAUUAUUGGGCGUAAAGCGCGUGUAGGCGGCUUUGCAAGUCGGGUGUGAAAGCCCUCAGCUCAACUGAGGAAGUGCGCCCGAAACUGCAGAGCUUGAGUAUCGGAGAGGAUGGCGGAAUUCCCCAAGUAGAGGUGAAAUUCGUAGAUAUGGGGAGGAACACCGGUGGCGAAGGCGGCCAUCUGGACGGAUACUGACGCUGAGACGCGAAAGCGUGGGGAGCAAACAGG
rnacentral:rRNA from 1 species